UUGUAGAGGUAAGUGGAACUCCAUGUGUAGCGGUGGAAUGCGUAGAUAUAUGGAAGAACACCAGUGGCGAAGGCGGCUUUCUGGACUGUAACUGACGUUGAGGCUCGAAAGUGUGGGUAGCAAACAGGAUUAGAUACCCUGGUAGUCCACACCGUAAACGAUGAGUGCUAGGUGUUUGAGGGUUUCCGCCCUUAAGUGCCGCAGCUAACGCAUUAAGCACUCCGCCUGGGGAGUACGACCGCAAGGUUGAAACUCAAAGGAAUUGACGGGGACCCGUACAAGCGGUGGAGCAUGUGGUUUAAUUCGAAGCAACGCGAAGAACCUUACCAGGUCUUGACAUCCCUUGACAACUCCAGAGAUGGAGCGUUCCCUUCGGGGACAAGGUGACAGGUGGUGCAUGGUUGUCGUCAGCUCGUGUCGUGAGAUGUUGGGUUAAGUCCCGCAACGAGCGCAACCCUUAUUACUAGUUGCCAGCAUUUAGUUGGGCACUCUAGUGAGACUGCCGGUGACAAACCGGAGGAAGGUGGGGAUGACGUCAAAUCAUCAUGCCCCUUAUGACCUGGGCUACACACGUGCUACAAUGGCGUAUACAACGAGUUGCCAACCCGCGAGGGUGAGCUAAUCUCUUAAAGUACGUCUCAGUUCGGAUUGUAGGCUGCAACUCGCCUACAUGAAGUCGGAAUCGCUAGUAAUCGCGGAUCGGCACGCCGCGGUGAAUACGUUCCCGGGUCUUGUACACACCGCCCGUCACACCAUGAGAGUUUGUAACACCCAAAGCCGGUGGGGUAACCUUCGGGAGCCAGCCGUCUAAGGUGGGACAGAUGAUUAGGGUGAAGUCGUAACAAGGUAGCCGUA
rnacentral:rRNA from 1 species